GCCCAGAAGUCCUGGGAUUUACACCUCUAGUAGAAACCCUCAACCAGAGAAGGAUGGAAGUCAAUGGGUGACCCUGCAGCCUGUGAGACCAUCUUGGCCCUUGUCAGGGCAGCCAUUUGCCAUUGCAGAUGAAGGGUGGGGGAGAGGCCAGAGACUCCUUCAGACUGUGUUGGAAAUGUCAUGAAAAUGGAAAUUCUCACAACCUGAGAGUCAUAGACCUGGAUUUGGGUUUCUGCUGUGUCAUUAAGUUCUUGCAAACCAGGCAAGUCAUGUAACCUUUCUGGUCCCCAGUUGUCUUCUCUGUAAAAUGAAGCUGUUAAGAGCUCUGAUCUCAUCACGUUGCCAUGAGAAAGGAAUAGGACAAGGUCCAGGAGGGAGCUUGCAUAUAAUGAGUGCUAGGAAAUGUCAGCUAUCAUUAUCCUUGUUAAUAUGAACCUGUGUUUAGUGGGUUGAUUUUCUGAACUUUGAUAGCAGUUGGGGUUUCACGGAGCAUUUGGGAUGAAUAAACAAGCAUCUCUGGA
rnacentral:lncRNA from 10 species